rnacentral:rRNA from 1 species
CUAUACAUGCAGUCGAGCGGACAGAAGGGAGCUUGCUCCCGGAUGUUAGCGGCGGACGGGUGAGUAACACGUGGGUAACCUGCCUGUAAGACUGGGAUAACUCCGGGAAACCGGAGCUAAUACCGGAUAGUUCCUUGAACCGCAUGGUUCAAGGAUGAAAGACGGUUUCGGCUGUCACUUACAGAUGGACCCGCGGCGCAUUAGCUAGUUGGUGAGGUAACGGCUCACCAAGGCGACGAUGCGUAGCCGACCUGAGAGGGUGAUCGGCCACACUGGGACUGAGACACGGCCCAGACUCCUACGGGAGGCAGCAGUAGGGAAUCUUCCGCAAUGGACGAAAGUCUGACGGAGCAACGCCGCGUGAGUGAUGAAGGUUUUCGGAUCGUAAAGCUCUGUUGUUAGGGAAGAACAAGUGCAAGAGUAACUGCUUGCACCUUGACGGUACCUAACCAGAAAGCCACGGCUAACUACGUGCCAGCAGCCGCGGUAAUACGUAGGUGGCAAGCGUUGUCCGGAAUUAUUGGGCGUAAAGGGCUCGCAGGCGGUUUCUUAAGUCUGAUGUGAAAGCCCCCGGCUCAACCGGGGAGGGUCAUUGGAAACUGGGAAACUUGAGUGCAGAAGAGGAGAGUGGAAUUCCACGUGUAGCGGUGAAAUGCGUAGAGAUGUGGAGGAACACCAGUGGCGAAGGCGACUCUCUGGUCUGUAACUGACGCUGAGGAGCGAAAGCGUGGGGAGCGAACAGGAUUAGAUACCCUGGUAGUCCACGCCGUAAACGAUGAGUGCUAAGUGUUA